UACGAAGGGUGCUAGCGUUGUUCGGAAUCACUGGGCGUAAAGCGCGCGUAGGCGGCUUUUCAAGUCAGGGGUGAAAUCCUGGAGCUUAACUCCAGAAUUGCCUUUGAAACUGUAAAGCUGGAGUGUCGGAGGGGAUAGCGGAAUUCCUAAUGUAGAGGUGAAAUUCGUAGAUAUUAGGAGGAACACCGGUGGCGAAGGCGGGUCUCUGGGCCGUAACUGACGCUGAGGAGCGAAAGCGUGGGGAGCGAACAGG
rnacentral:rRNA from 1 species